rnacentral:lncRNA from 1 species
AAUACAGGCAGGCGGGCGGGCACGGCAAGGAAGUCUUGACCUAUAUCUGUUUAUAGGUGACUCACUGUAAAUUAUAUAGUUUAUUGCUUUAAUUUAUUGCAAGCAAUUCUGAAGGGUUCUCUUUUUAAUGUGGUGCAGCAGAAUUUUAACUACCUAAAUAUUGUUACUGCCUCCCCUUCCAUGUAUCCAGACCUGAGCUUUUCAUAGUUCUGAAAUAUGACCAAGUGAAAACAGAGAUCAGAAAUGUCAUUGUAAAAAUAAAUAAAUAAAUAAAGCCACUGUUUCCACCCAUCUGUAAACCCUACUGAGGUUUUUUAAAGGGAAAAAGGACUUGGUGUUAUGCAAACACAUUGGCAUCCCUCUUCUUCUGAGGAGGGCACUUUGAUAGCUAAGGUAGUCCAAACACCUCCAGUCGUCUUGGCCGCUCUGCCGAGGGAGAGGCAUUCCACUGGGCUGCUCCCUUUUCUGUCACAGCUGGCUGCGUGCCUGCUGGCAACUCCGCAGCCUCCAGAGGAACAGCCCUGUGGCUGCACUGGUUGCUGUUGCAAUGAGCAUUUAUUUUCCUUGGAGUGACGGUUUCUGCAUCCAGUGCUUUUGGAGUGGACUGGGAAAACAAGACGUGAGAUUCUUUCUUCUUACAUUAUCCUUGGGAUCCUGAAGAUGAAAGACUGGGAUUUACAAGCUCACUUCGUAGCUUUCUGUACUUCAGCCUCAGUGGACUUCAGACAAUCAUCUGUCUGGCAGCAUGAAUCGUAAGGGUAUCUGCAUUCCUACAUGUCGCUGAAAGGCUUCAGCUCGUGGGCCUGCCCUUCCACCAGCCAGAUGUUUAACCCAUCCAGAAUGUUCAGCUGGUACCAAUCGUUUACAAUCAGUGCUCCAUGGAAGAAAGGCAAAAAGGUCCCACAAGCUGACAGCAAAGUGGUUCUGACAAACGUGAAGAUAAUCAACAAUGAAAAAAAGGAAAACAAAGAGUUAGGAACAGAUCCUCCAGAGUCUUCAAAGGGAACUGGGAUUACUGAAUCCAAUGUAUCACAGCAAGCAGCAAGCCUGGCCAUCUUAAGUGAGGCGUCAGUGCCGUCGGAGGAUGUUGUCGCAAGCCCUGGUCUGAAACAUCUUGUUCCGAGGUUGGUCAAGAUUGAAUCGGAAGACUCCGGUGUGGAGUUGCCAAGCAGAGCCAACUCUCCCUCAACACCCAGGGGCUCCGAAAAGAGCUUUGUGCUCCACAGCAGAGAUUCUUCCUGUGACUCUGGAGUAUUGAGUGCCUCUUCCUCCCCAGCAGCUGACCAUGUAAUCAAGAGAAUGUGCGAAGACACUGUGGAUCACAGCCUGUGCCUUUCAGAUGACAAGAAGCUCACAGGAUACUGCGCAGGGCAAACUUCUGCAGUUUCUGUGGAAGAUAACCUUGACUGUCCAGGGAGAAAAAGUCCUGAAGUGCCUUUUUUUGAUGGGAACCAAGAGGAAUGUUUAGAAGACAAAACCAGUGAAGGAGGCAACAUAGCCAUCACCCUGGCUACAUCUGUAGUAGACAAAAUGCCGCGUGAUGAUUAUGGNAAAGACAGCUUAGAUGAGCUGGUUCUGGAAGGGCAUCCCUUAAGAAAAUAUCCUACAAGUGAUAGCUUAGAUGAAUACAUGGAUGAAUGCUGUAGGCUGAGCAAGGUGAAUCAAGGAAAUGCUAAGGCACUUGGCUCUGGCCUGGGAUAUCUGGAGCACAUUUGCCAACUUAUUGAAAAAAUUGGUCAGCUACAAGAACAUAACCUGCGAUUACAGAAACAAGUCUGCAGCUUGCAAAAGGAGCAGAGAACAAUCCAGCUGAAUGAGGAGUAUUUUCUACAGCACUGCUGCUGUGGUGCUGCCAGCAUUUUCCUCAGUUCACACCAAGAGUUGAAAAAUAUUUUUCCUGGAAAGAGUAGGCCGCAGAGCCUAUUGAUUCAGAAUGGAAAUCUGUCGGACCUUUCAAUCAUUCCAGAAGCAGGAGGAAGCAGUGAAAAAUCAAGCAAAGAAAGAGAUGCUCAACUUGAUCUAGAAAAUAAUUGGCUGAUAAUGAAAUUAAAGUUAUCAAAUGGAAGGAAAAGUGAAGUGAAUGAAUGCAGAGAAGGAUGCAGUUUGACUGAAGGACAAGAUUGUCUGCUGAAAGGGGGUGAAAGUCAAGCCUGGGGAAGGAUGAAAGACCUUGUGAAGAAGAGUAGGGGAAGGAACCAAAGCAGACUGGGGCUGGUGUCAGCUUCCUUGAAAAGGUCAUGCCCACAGCUCUAUAGGCCAGAUGCAGUCUCUUUGGAUAUGAGGAAAGUGGAGAGGAAUUCAAUGAUUGCUUUGGGGCAAAGCUCAAGGAAUGAAAGCAGUUGGCCUUUCUGACUAGAUGGAGAUAAGGUAAGCAAGUCCCCNGAGUAGAAUUUCUGUCAUCAUGUAGCAACCCAGAGAAGGAGAAAGUAAUGUACCUGGUACAAUUUUUCAGUGAAACCUUGUAUAGACAGAUAGUAAUAGAAAAAUGGGCAAGUCAAGCCUCCAGUGAAAAGGAUCUUGCAUGAGAAUGAGAAGGAAAAAAGGGAGGAACAGAAAAGGAAGGAGGCAGUUGCCAUUAACACCUGCUGGCUCUCCAGGCCUUGCUCUUCCAGAAGCCUCUGCUGCAGAAGAGAGAGCAUCUGUUCCCAGGUACCCCAGUGUGAGAGACUGGGGCUCAACUGGUGGAGUGUCUGCCUGCUGCUCCUGCAGUUCCUGAUUAC